AGUGAACGCUGGCGGUAGGCCUAAUACAUGCAAGUCGAACGGCCGCACGGUAAGCUCUUGUCCUUACGGGUGGCGACGGGCGGGCGGGUGAGGCAUACAUCGGCUUCUUAUUUUUCUUGGGGGAUUUCGUGGGGCCACUUCUGCUACUACCUCAUAUGUCCUACGGGUGAAUGCAGGAGUUCUUGGGACUUUUGCCGUUACUUUUAGAUGAUGUCGGAUUAGCUAGUUGGGGUGGUAAAGGCCCACCAAGGCGACGAACCGUAGCUGGUCUGAGAGGAUGAUCAGCCACACUGGAACUGAGACACGGUCCAGACUCCUACGGGAGGCAGCAGUAGGGAAUAUUGGGCAAUGGGCGCAAGCCUGAUGCAGCCAUACCGCGUGAGUGAAGAAGGCCUUCGGAUUGUAAAGCCCUGUUGUUAGGAAAGAAAAGCAGCAGAUGAAUACCCCGCUAUUCUGACGGUACCCAAAGAGUAAGCACCGGCUAACUUCGUG
rnacentral:rRNA from 1 species